GUUGCUUCUGCGUUUAUACUACGAUGAGUGCCCCUUUUUUCGAUUGGGCUUUCGCACUGGGAAGCAUAUAGAUGUGGAAUUGCCAGUUUUAAACAGCAUGAUGUAUUCUUUUUCUUUGCAUUGUGUUACCUGUCUUCUGGUAAAUCC
rnacentral:snoRNA from 1 species